rnacentral:tRNA from 1 species
UGAAUAGAAGCUUUGAAUAGAGCAUUUGGAUGUUAACCAAAAAGGAAUAAAUUAAUUAUAUAUUCGA